GCAUAAUUUAAUGUCCAGCAAAGAUUGUGAAGUCACAAUAGUUUCACUCAAGUACCAUCUCCUUAGACAGCAUUUCCUAGACAUGCACUUCAUACAAUUCUAAUAGAAUCAAACUACUGGUAAGUACCGUCUUUCCAUAACACUAUUACGGUACUAAGGAUUUAUGACACGAAGGCAUAGAUAGACAGGAGUCACCACCCGGGUAAUAACCGGGACAUAUUUAGUGUUUCUUCCGAGGGUCGUGGAUGGCAACUUACUCCUUGCAGAGUUUCCACAAUCGUCAUUACCAUAGCCCAAUGUCUAAGUUCGGAACAGUGGAUACGGAAGGGGAAGAUGUUAGGCACCACUUACGUCUGGUCUAACCUCAUUGAUUCGAGUGCCAGUCCCCUACUAAUGUUUCUAGAAGUCUUAUUUAUUAUUCCUUUAUUAAACUUUAUCCUAAAAAAUACAAUUUUAAUCCUACACAUGCAAGUAAUUCACAAAACGAUUGUUGUUUACACACAAUUUUCAUGCACAAAUAAUUCUUAUCUAUGGGGUUGCUAAUUAUUUAAAUGAUAUUUACCAAUAUGAUGAAAAUUAAUUUAUUAUUGAGAAUUUAAUUUACAAAUAAAUUCAAUUUCAAAUAACCAUACGUUUCUAUUUAACAUAAUUAAUUAAUUCUCACCAAGUUAACCCUAAGGAUAAUUGAACUAAGUUAAUUAUGUACAUGUGUAAUUUAUUCUAAUAUCACAUAAGGCCCAAACAAUCACAACCUAAUAAAGAUUUCUAUCAUGCAAAUUUAUUUUAUAAUUAUCAAGUGUUAAAUUAAAUUUAUUUUACAUGUCAAUGUUAGUUUAAUUUACAAAUAAGAUUAAUUUUAAUUUACAAAGUGUUUAUUUAAAUUAAUUACAUAUAAAAGUCAGCUAAAUUAAAAAUAAAGUUAAUUUUAAUUUACCAAAUAAAAAUUCUAUUAUUACUAUAAUUUCAUGCUAAUGGUUAUUCGAGGAGUUUAGAGCUACUUACCUAUUGGUAAAUGCAGUUGCCAUUGGGGCAAGUUACCCUUAAAAAAAGAUAUGCUCUUCUAGUAUGGCAAUAAUAUCCCUGGCUUACUCUCGUUUAGAUCCACAUAAGCUUCACGCAAAUGCCCUCUUUGGUACUUACCUUAGGGUUAUUUGCCAAUUUUGUUUGUAAUAAAAAAUAAAGAAACUAAAUAAAAUAAAAGAAAUAAAGAAAAUAUUAAUAAUAAUUUACAUUGGAUUCUAACUCUAGUCUCCUAAAGGGUUAAGAUUCCUAAUUAGUUACAAUUACCUAAUGGUCUAAGUCUUCUAACAUGAUCCAAACACUUCAUAACACUUCUUGAAUUAAAAGAAUACAGAAAAUAGAUCAAAUAUCAAUUAAAACCCAAGAAAAUACAAGAACAUGCAUAAAUAUACAAUUUUCAAAUUCUGACAGAUUAACGGUUGUAAGAAAUCCGAUUUUUUAAAAAUAGUUAGAGAUGCCUAAAAAUCAUAAAAAAAAAUUACAGAAGACAGCCUACAUAUCAUACAAGAUCAUAAAAUUUAUAAAUCAAAUAAAACCUUAGCCAAAUAGUCUACAUAAAUCGUAACUUUUCUAAGUGAUAAAAUCAUACUACUUUUUUGUAAAAUUCAUAGCUCAUUAACCAUAAUAGAUAUGAACGCAAAACCAAUUGAAAAAGAUUCAUAAGAUUUUGAAAUUAAUUUUAGACACUAGAUUUAUACAAAAAUAUUAAGAAACAAGGGAGAUAUGGGCUCCACAAGUCGGGUAUCUUGCAAAUCGGAUUUUACAGGAAUCCUAACUUCAAACAGCCAUAACUUACAAAAUAUUAAAGCUUUUUUAGUGAUUCUUGAGUCUAAAAUUAAUAGAAUUUCGUGUAGAAUGUGAAUAUAAUUUUUGCAAAUUUUUUACAGAUUCAGAAAAUAACGAAAAAUAAUAAAAAUAUGAGAGAUAGAAAUUAAACAUGUGCAGAGUUGUGUAUCCCCUCAAAUUAAACAUGAUUACAUGAUCUAUAUGAACAUAUAAAAUAAAUUAAAAACAAGGAACAUAUAAUUAAACAUUACAUGGCAUAGAUCUUGAAAAGAAAAUAAAAGAACUAACCUUUAAUAAAUAUCGCCAGAAAAAAAAAGAACUUAAAGAAUUUUGACUAUUCCUCUCUUUAAUUUUUUUUUUAUCUUCUCCUCCACUUUUUUUUUCUCCUCUCUUUCUCCUCCUUUUUUUUUUUUAAUUUUUUAUCAGUAGGGUAUUUAUAGUGUUUUGGGAGAGAGGUGUGAUAGGGUUUGGAGUCAUAGGGUGAUAAAGUUUAGAUAACUUAAACAACUAGGAUUGCAGAAUUUGGGUGAGACUAAGAUGUGGAUGAGGUGUUUCAACUAAUAGGAAGAGAGGGGAAGGGGAAGGGGAAGGGGAAGGGGAAGACACUAAUAGAAAGUGAGGAAGAUGUGUAGUAGGGUUUGAAAUCCUAGUGUGAUAAGGUUCAUAUAACUUAAACAAUUAGGAUUGAGGAAUUUGGGUGAGACUAGGAUAUGGGUGAGGUGUUCCAACCAAUAGGAAGAGAGGGAUAGAGAAAAAUAUAUUUUUUUAUUUUAAUUUUUGAAAAAUAAAUUAAAUAGGUCUUAUUUAAAAUUUCUAACUAGACUUUUUUAGGCUCAUGAGACCCAAUUAAACUCAAUUAACUCUUUUUAAGAACUACCCAUAUCAAAUUUAAACAAAACAAAAUUUUAUUUAAAUUAAAUUAAUUUCUCAAAAAGCGUAUUAUUAUUUUUUUUUUCAAGAUUAUGCCACGAAAUUAAUAAUUUAGUUCUAUGCCUUCAAUUAUGUGUUAUAGUCAUACAAUUUUUCAUCAUUGGGUUUCCCACGGCCUCAAUGCAUAUACUCAUCACAAGAUAAGGGUCUACAGUUUGCCCCUCACUUUGGCAAAAGUUAAAAUCAAUGCGAAAACAUUGCUCAAGUUUCGUCAAAGUGAAACUCAAAUUUCUAAUAACUAUGAAACAUUGGCUAUGGAGAUCAAGUAUAUCUUGCUUAGUCGACAUACUCUAUGUUAUGAGACUGGCUACGGUCUCAUAACAGUGAUAACUGUGUCUUGUGAAAAAUGAGUGUAUCUUGCUUUAUCGAUACACUUUGCGUCAUGAGACUAGCUACGGUCUCAUAACAGUGAUAACUGUGUCAUGUGAAAAUUGAGUGCAUCUUGCUCUGUCGAUACACUCUGUGUCAUGAGACUAGCUACGGUCUCAUGACAAUAGCAACUGUGUGAUUUGAAAUGUUGUGGAUUCGUAUUUAGGACCGUAGUUCUAAACUACCUACGUAUCCCCCUCGCUAUCCUGAGGAAGAAUCAGACCCACUCAUAGUUCGACACUUGAAACUGUGGUGAUGCAUGUUCUUCUAUACCUUACACACCUACAAGUGACAUGUUGAUGCGUGUUCUUCUACGCCUUACACAACUAUGCCAUGUGCCCUAAAUAACGUCUAAGGACUUACCAAAAAACAUCUGUCAUGAAAUGUUGUGGGUUCGUAUUUAGGACCAUGAUCAUAAACUGCCUACUUAUCCCCCUCGCUAUCCUGAGGAAGAAUCAGACCCCCUCGUAGUUCGACACUUGAAACUGUGGUGAUGUAUGUUCUUCUACGCCUUACAUACCUACAGGUGACAUGUUGAUGCGUGUUCUUCUACGCCUUACACAACUAUGUCAUAUACCCUAAACAAUGUUUAAGGACUUACCAAAAAAUAUAUGUCUUAGGACUGCAGUCCUAAACUACCUACGUAUCUCCCUCGCUAUCUUGAGGAAGAAUCAGACCCCCUCGUUGUAACACCCCUAUUUGUAUAGCCUGGUAUAUUUCACUAUUCUGGUGACCGGUGUCGGUCCGGAUAAUUAAGGGGAUUAGAACCACACUUAAGACAACUAGAUAAAUAACAAACACAAAUAAUUAGUAAUGUCCAAUUAGUUAAGUAUAAACAAGAAAAACAGAACAUAAGAAGUUAAACGAGCCGAGAGUCACAGCGUUGGGUGACCUUCUCAGGAAUGACUGCGAAGUCAUUUUAAACUAAAUUUCGAACCGUAAAAUGUGACGUCGCGAUCCUUAGGACCCUUAUAAACACAGUGGAAAAGAGAAAAUCACGAAAAAGAACUGUUAAGCCAAUCAAAUAAUUAGGUCAGGGAGCCGGAAGAAAUAUAUAAUUAAUUGCAAACCGGGAUAAACCGGCGAGGGGCAAUUUGGUCAAUUGACCCCGAGAGUUGACUCUUGACCUAACUGUCAAAUAAAAUCGGAGAAAAGAAAACUUCUGAAUCGAGAAUUAAAUUAAAGAACUAAUAGAAAUAAAUAAAUUAAAAAAAAAAGGAAAUGAAAAAGUAAAAAGGUGAUGACAUCAUGCAUGAUGCCAUAAAAACAAUACUUAAUAUAUUUAUUUAAUUGGGAUUUUUUGGUCUUCCAUAAGUGAAUAAAAGAAAAGAAAAGAAAAACAAAAAAUUAUUGUCUUCCUUACCCAAACUUGCCGCCUCAUCCUCUCUCUCUCCCUCACCAUUGCAAACUCCAUUAAAAGCUUGUCUUUAAGCUUUGAAACUCUUACCAAAUCCCAACUUCUUUCAUAAUCACUCCAUAAAACCUUAUUCCCUUUCCUUGAGAAAGAAAUUUAACCAGAAAGAAAGAAGAAAAGAGGAGAAAAAUUGAAGAUUGGAUAUCAAAGUUGAGGUAAGCACAUCAAUUUGAAAGUUUGAGAUUAUUUGUUGUGUUUUUAGCUUGAAUGACUUGUAAAUAAACUUAAAAUAGAAAGAAAAUUUGUUUGAGGGACCAAAUUGAAAUUCGACCAGUAUGAAGGGGGGAGGGUGAUUUGCAUGAUUUGAAUAGUUUGAAUGGGUAUAUAAAUCUUAUUUAGUUGAAUGACUAUGGUUAAAGGCAUGGAAUCAAGUAAAUGCAACAAAUUAGUGUGGAUUAGGGUUUGGACAUUAGGGUUUAGGGACCAAAAAUGUGAAGAAGUGCUAAAUGAUGUCUUUGACAUAGUUUAAGGAAAGAAAUGGCCAUUUGUGACCUAAUUAAGUGUGUUAGAAGUGUUUGAAUCAAAGUCAAAUUCGGAUUGGGUAUGCACCAUGACCAAAAGUCAACUUUGAAGGACCAAAAAUAGAAUUUUACAAAUCCAAUGGAUAUGGGACUAAUUGGGGAUGAAAAUAGGUACUAAAUGACACAAUUUUUAUUUACGAAGCAUGCCCAAAAAGUGACUGAAACCUAGUGAACAAAUUGACUAAAGUUGAAAAAUUGCAGGCUGCCCUGCACAAACUGACCAAAUGAACAGUAUUUGUUCAUUUAGUCAUAACUCGAGCUAGGCAGGUCAAAAUGACCUGAAAUUUUACCAGUGGUUAGAUGAGAUAUAGAUCUAAAACUUUCAUGAUGAACACAAACCCAAAUUAUGCCAUUAACCCAAUCAAAUCACUGAGCAAAGUUGGAUCACUGAACCUGCAAAACUGCAGAUUUACCAUAUGAACAGUAAAGUUUCAAUGGCUAUAACUCUCUCUAGAAAACUCUGAUUUAUGUGAUUCUUAAACCGAUGGAAACCUAAGGCAUAGUAGAACAUUUCAUAUGAAGAAAAUUAGACCAAAUUAUGGACCUAACUUGAUCAAAUUGCUGAACAAAAUUGGAAUCAAUAAUCUGCCAAAACAAAAUUCUGCAGCAUGAACAGUAAACGUAAUUUGCAUAUAACUUAAGCUACAAAACUCCAAUUGGAGUGAUUCAAAAAGGAGAAUAAACUUAAGACAAUAAGAAACAUUUUCUAUGAAGGAAGUUUUGUCAAAUUCUAACAGUAAAGUGACCAAUGGAACAGUGCAAACUUAGAUACCAAAACUGAAAAUUCGGCAAUUUUGCCUAAAAGACCUAAGUUUUGAGAAAAUGACCAAAACUAACAAGUUUGGUGACCAAAAUGUGGUAUGUGGGUGAAGUUGAAAUUCCCAUACCUAUUAAGCCUUAGAAAGUCAAUAAUUUGACUUGAAUAGUGUAGUGAAUAGUAACCCGAAACAUAAAAAAUUUCAAGAACGUCGAGUUUAGCACAUUAGAGCUAGGUAAAAGUGAAGUUAAAUUUAUUUUUGAAUUUAUGCUAAGUUAUGGUAUUGAAACACUGUGAACUAUGUGUUUCAGCUGAAAAAGACUUGGAAGCUCGAAGAUACUGAGUCAAGGCCCAGAGGCGACUCACGUCAGAUAAGAGCAAAGAGAAAGCAGCAGAGUGAGCUGCGAGAUUGACAACAACUCUUGAUCAAUUUUGUACGGGUAUUGUUUUAUACUCUUGUAAUUAUUUUGAUGUAAAUACUGUAAUGUCAUAAGUAUCAAUGUAAAGUGAGCAGUUGUAUAAUAAAUUGUAAUAAUAUUAUUUUUGGAACUUCUUUUUGUAAAUUAACAUUUGUAGUUUGUGAAUUUCAUACCUUAUGCAAUGUGAAUGAAGUUAUUAAAUAUUUUGAGAUGAUAAA